rnacentral:misc_RNA from 1 species
UUGUGGAGGAGGACGCCGAAGGUGGGGCUAAUGACUGGGGUGAAGUCGUAACAAGGUAGCCGUACCGGAAGGUGCGGCUGGAUCACCUCCUAACAGGGAGACAACAAAAUGUUUAAUAUUAUUAUUUUGUCACCUUAGGUCGAUCGGUAUCUCAUGUUCUUAAUUUAUUAAGAAUUUCAUUUCCUAAGUUUUUCUAGGUCACACCCAUUAUUUUCCUGGGCCAUUAGCUCAGGUGGUUAGAGCGCACCCCUGAUAAGGGUGAGGUCCCUGGUUCAAGUCCAGGAUGGCCCAUAUCUCUAUGUUGGGGGUAUAGCUCAGUUGGUAGAGCGCCUGCUUUGCAAGCAGGAUGUCAGCGGUUCGAGUCCGCUUACCUCCACUGAUUACCACCUCUUCCAUAAUCUGUAGAAAGGAAAAUUUUUGAGUUGUGAUCAUUAUUCUGAACAAAUCUAGCUUCCUAAUAAAACCAUUAAGAUGCUGGACUCAUUGAAUUAAUUUCAUUGUUUUCAGAGAACCUUGACAACUGCAUAGAUUAUUUUUAAAGACAAUAAGCAUCUUUAAUGAUGCAGAUUUAUUAUUUGUGCAAAUGCAUUAAUAACAAUUCUAUUAAGCUGAUGCUUCAAUUAUGAAGUUAUUGGUCAAGCUACAA